AUCUUUGCGCUUGGGGCAAUGUCCGAGUUAAUGAGGUCUUACCGAGACCGGACUAUUGCGAAUUGAAAACUAUUUCCAAAGCCCGCUGUGUGUCACUCUGUGGCCUCAGCAAUUUCUGGACGGGAAUUCUUAUUCC
rnacentral:snRNA from 1 species